GCCCACGUAGCUCAGGCGGUAGAGCACCUUCUUGGUAAGGAGGCGGUCAGCGGUUCGAAUCCGCUCGUGGGCUCCA
rnacentral:tRNA from 1 species